AUGCUCUCCAAUGGCCUGCUCAUGUCUUGGGAGAUUUGGAAAGAGCGUAAUGGAAGGGUUUUCCGUAACACCGCCACUACAACGAUGAUGCUCAUCGUGAAGAUAAAAGAGGAGGCCCAUUUUUGGGCUAUUGCCAGUGCCACCCACUUGAGUAUUGUAAUGCCGCGAGAGUAG
rnacentral:rRNA from 1 species